AGUCCAUCCAUAUUUGCAUGAGAGUACUGUUUUUAACUUUCUGAAAAUUAAUCUUUAACUGUUUUGAAGGUCCCACUAACCUACCCGUGGAACUCAUCUUCCAGAGCCAGUUCAACUGUGUUGCCUAAAAGUACAUCUCACAAAUUGUUAAAGUCCUGAAAUGUCUUUUUUGGGUUCCUGGAGUGAUUCCCAAGUGGCACCUACAACUUCACCUGUCUUGACUUUUUCUGGUCUUUUUCUCCUGAUUUUGGAUUUUCACUUUUGUUUCUUUACUUGACCAAGUUUGGCUCUGGGUAUGAUUUAUCUGUGGCUGAUGUGGUAUUCCCCAUAGACGGCAACAAUGAUUGAGAAUCUGGUUUUGUCAUCUGUCCAUUUGGUGAUCUCUUGGAUAACAAGAAUCUAGUCUCUCUAAGAAAACAUGAAAAAUGAAAGAAGUAUUUUGAGCCCACAAUAUAUCAGGCAAUAUGCUAGGCCAUGUGGAUACUCAAUUGAAAGCCAUCAUUACUCUUUUUGAAGAGGUCAUGACCAAGUGUGAUUGAAUUAUCAAUGAAUUAUGAUGCAACAUCUUAGACGACCAGCCCCAUACAAUGGUACUUUGUGCAAGAGCUCUCUGCAUGGGCCGGCCGGGCCCCCUUCCCUGCGCCUGCCAACGGGAGGAGACGCGAGGCGCUGGGAGCUCCAGAGUGGGCGAGGACUUCGGGCAGACCCGGCGUUGCUGUUGGACAUCAUUCAGAAGUCCCCGCUCAGCGGGGGCAGCCCGAAGAGCAAAACAAACAGAGCGAGGAGUAGUGGAAAAUGCUGAGUCCUGGAGCUGGCCGGAACGGCCUUCGCCUUUCCACGCCCAAAGCCAGCCGCUCUGCCCACCUGCAGCUGCAAUAGCAAGCAGGGCCGCAGCAGGCAGGGAGGCCUUGGCACCAGAGCCCGUCCAGGGCUGGGAAGGCGGGGAACAGACACUCCUCUCUCUUCAGACAGGCCCUCCAGAGUCCUCACCCUGAAGGCUGAGGUCUUUUUCUUGUUCCAGGAGUCCAGUGAAAAAAUAGUUCUCAAAAAGGGAGAAAAAGACUUUCUUGAACUGCAGUUUCAGAUUUACUAAUAGUGUCCAUUUACAUAGCUCCUACUAAAUGUCAAGCACCAACACAGAUGAAUUGGCAAUCACCAUGUCAGUCCUGCGAGGUUGGUACUUUUAUCCCCAUUUCACAGAUGAAAAAAGCCAGGCACAGAGAAGUCAAAUAACCCAAGUUCACAAUGCUCAACAAUGGCAGGGCCAGGAUUUACAACCUGGUUUAAAAUUUAAAACGUAGGAUUUAAAACCUACUUUACAGUCUUAAAGGUGACUGCCUUUUCUCUUCAGCUUAUUAGAUUUCCUCUCUAGGAAUACAAGAUGUGCAACACAAAGAGAGGAAACUCAAGAUGGAGAGUAAAGGGAAUGAAUGAGAGACAGGAGAAUCACCAAGGACUAGAAUAAUACAAAAGAUUUAUUUAAAAAGCAGGUGGCCAUCGGCCCAGGAGAAGGAGUGUGAGACCAAGGUACAGAAGUGGCAAGAAAUGCUGAGCUGGGGCUGGAAGGUACGACAGUACUAGUCAGACAGGCACCUGUUCUGUCCAAAACAGGAUUCCAGAAGUAAUGUGAAGAGGUCACUUGGCAAAGGGGGCUCACACAGCUCUAGGGGGAAACUGAGGAUCAGCAGCUGGAGCAGAGAAAUAGAGAAAUGAACACCUUCUUUCUUUCCAAUUACAGCCGCAGUGGAGGCAGAUGCCCAGGGCUCCUAGGAGAGACAGAUCGCGAUUAGAAGAGAGGGCCUAUGGCUGUCAUGCAGGGAGGUCUGUCCGUUCCUCUAAGCCAAGAGCUCUUGUCCCCAGAGGAAAGAGGAGAAGGAAGAAAGGAACAAACAAAUGAACAGAGGAAGGAAUGAAAAGAGAGAGAGAGAAGGAGGGAGGAAGGGCUGGAAGGAAGAAAGGAAGGGGCUGUUUUUUUCUUGUGUUUGGAAGAACAAGCUGCCAACCCUCAUUAAAUGCAUAGGAUUGGCUUUAGAGUUACUACACCUAAAUUCUAAUUCUGUCUCUGUCACCGGUUAGUAAUGUGAUCUCAUGGAAAUCACUGGAACACCCUUAACCUGAAACCCAAUGUCUAUACAAUGAGGACACUGGAAUUCACCUCUAAGGUUCUCUCUGGAUCUAAAAUCUACACUCUGAUGAUACUGAGACCAAGGACAGGGACUUUGAUUGUUGCCUUUUCAUGCCACCGAAGGUCUACAUCCUAGCACAGUGCCCACCACCCAUCCACACCGACCAGUCACCCAGGGCUAGUGAUUCUGUGUUCUCAACACCUCUCUGAUGUGCCAUAGCUGCUUCUCUUGUAUGCAUCUCUUCUGAGCAUGAAACGGUUUUCCAACUGGUCUCCUUGCCUCCACCCUUGUCUGGCUCUGAUUCAUGUUCUGCUCCACAGUCAGAAUGAUUUUCCUAAGCACAGGUCGGAUCAUGUGACUUAGCCUGCUGGAAGAGCCUCAGGACUCCACGUCACUCUUCACACAGCCCACAGGGCCCUGGAUCAUCUCCACACAUUCUUGCUGUCCUCUCCUCACACCCACACUCUUUUGCACUCUGUGCUCUAGAUCCAUAAAACUACUUCCAGUUUCUCCACCAGUGUACACACUUUCUCACCUCUCAGCCUCUGGACAUGCAUUCCCCACCACUGGAACCUCUUUCCCUCCCCACUUAACUAACUGCUACUCACCUGCAGGCCACACAUUCCUUCAGGUUAGGUUCCUCCUAUGUGUCAAAUCAUAUUGUUAUUUCACUGGAUGGUGUUCCCCCUUUGUCUAUAAAUUGUAAUUUACUGGAAGUAGAGUGAAGGAAAAAAAAGUGUGUUUACCUUCUUCCUUAUGGUUUCCCUUGUACUGAACCCAAUGCCAACCACACGGCAGGUGCUCAAGGGAUGUUUGUUAUCUGAAUAAAUUUGCUUGGUGGCGUCACUAUGUAGGGCACCUUCUAGAUAUAACAUCUUAUAGUUCUGUAAAGUGAGAUGUCAGUGACUCUGCAUUUUCAGUUUCUAAAAACUGAGAGAGAUAAGGCCUUCCACCACCCAGUGAUCCAACUUUCUUAGUCUCCUGUUCCCAGCCUAAGCACCAUUAUUUAGCAGAUUCUUGUGUCCAUCAGAACUAAUAGAAAUGAUUAUCAUGAUCAAUACUGAAUCAACUAGAAUCGGCUUUAAAUCAGGAUGCAUUCCCUAGAAAUCAGAUGAAAUUUAGUACAGUGUGGGACUAGAGACAGGGCUAAGGGUAUCUGGGAAGAGAGAGGUCUGCAUUCUAGUACCAGUUCUGUCAUUAAUGAGGUGACAUUGGGCAAGUCCUCUGGCCUCUCUAAACCUUGAAUUCAUGAAUGCCUAAUUGAAGAGGUUGCACCAGAUAAUCUUUAAGGUCUCUUUUGACUCUAAAAUGUAGAAUUUUAGAAUUCCGGCAUUUGCUCUUCUUCUCAUCAUCCUCUAGGCCAUUACUGGGUUUAAUGAGGAGACUGUAUAAAGUAUCGUACGACCAACAGGAACUGCUUUGAGUAAUUAUGCCAGGACAAGGGAUGGACUCUGAGACUAUUCCAGGUACACCAGGAUGUGUGCUCACUCUUAUUUUAAUUGUCUUUCUUGACUGGGCUUCAGGUUUGGGGCUGUUACUUGUAGUUGCAGAGAGAAGGCUAUUUGGAAUCUAUGAUCAGGGCUCUGAUCUGAGAUUUCACAGAGGCCACACUCAUGGGUUCCUAGAGCAGCUAACACAUGCCACCAUCAUGCACAUGGCACACCUGGUCCCUUCCUGCUCUAAAUGGGAAAUCUGUGCCCAGAGUUAGCACAGCCUUCCAUCCAUACCCUGCUGAGUUCAUACACUCACCUCAGCCCACCAGUGUUCC
rnacentral:lncRNA from 1 species